UGGGGAAUUUUGGACAAUGGGCGCAAGCCUGAUCCAGCCAUGCCGCGUGAAGGAUGACGGCCCUCUGGGUUGUAAACUUCUUUUAUCUGGGACGAAAAAAGAUCAUUCCUGAUCACUUGACGGUACCAGAGGAAUAAGCACCGGCUAACUCCGUGCCAGCAGCCGCGGUAAUACGGAGGGUGCAAGCGUUAUCCGGCAUCAUUGGGUUUAAAGGGUGCGUAGGCGGCCUAUUAAGUCAGGGGUGAAAGACGGUAGCUCAACUAUCGCAGUGCCCUUGAUACUGAUGGGCUUGAGUGGACUGGGGGUAGGCGGAGUGUGACGAGUAGCAGAGAAAUGCGUAGAUAUGGGGAGGAACACCGAGGGCGAAGGCAGCCCCCUGGGUCAAGAUUGACGCUCGUGCACGAAAGCGUGGGGAGAAAAC
rnacentral:rRNA from 1 species